rnacentral:tRNA from 1 species
GAUAAGGUGGCUGAGUAUAGGCGUUAGAUUGUAAAUCUAAAUAGAAGCGUUAGCUUUCUUGUUA